UAUGUGAUCGUCUCUCGCAUAUCAAUAAGCGGAGGAAAAGAAACUAACAAGGAUUCCCCUAGUAACGGCGAGUGAAGCGGGAAGAGCUCAAAUUUGAAAUCUUAAAGGGUUUCCCUUUACGAAUUGUAGUUUAAAGAAGUGUUUUCUGUUGAGGUUUUGGUAAAAGUUCUUUGGAAUAGGACAUCAUAGAGGGUGAGAAUCCCGUAUUUGACCUUUACUUUCAACUUUGUGAUACACUUUCAAAGAGUCGGAUUGUUUGGGAAUGCAGUCCAAAAUGGGUGGUAAAUUUCAUCUAAAGCUAAAUAUUGGCGAGAGACCGAUAGCGAACAAGUACCGUGAGGGAAAGAUGAAAAGAACUUUGAAAAGAGAGUUAAACAGUACGUGAAAUUGUCAAAAGGGAAGCGUUUGACACCAGUGUUGUUUUUCUGAAAAUCAAUUAAAGAACUGUUUAUGCUAAGUUGUUUAGACUUUAUCAGCUAACUGUUUAGUUUUGAGCUUUUCUUUAAUGCACUUUUCGUUUAACAAGUCAACAUCAAUUUCUUUUGCUGUAAAAAAGCUUGAGGAAGGUGGCUUGAGAUUCGUCUUAAGUGUUUAUAGCCUCUUGCCUAUGCAGUCGGAGAGAUUGAGGUCUGCAGCGUAGAUCCUUCGGGGCUAAAUGCAUUUGUGCUAAGUUAUAGCAUUUUAUAGACAACUUGUUGACUAUGAUUUGUCUUGUAGCUUACUCGCUUAUGUUAUUUUACCUACGCUUAGGAUGUUGAGUCAUCACACAUCUCU
rnacentral:rRNA from 1 species